rnacentral:lncRNA from 1 species
CGCAGUGCGGUGUUGGCACCGCCGGGACAGAGCGCGGUGCUCCGCGACCUCCGCGUCGGCUCCGCGCUGCUGCGCCGCGCUGGGCUGAAAGGAGCGGGCGUCGCUUUAAGACAAACGGAAAAGCGGAAGAGAAAACCGGUUUUGCUCAAUUGAUACCGUUUGCUUUCUUUCUUUCUUUCUUUUUUUUUUAACCCCGCUUUUAUAUAUAUAUAUAUAAUAAUUAGGAUUAUUUUCGAGAACCAUUUGUUUCAAAGCCCGCUUGAGCCAAUAGCAGCCGGCGAGGUGGGGCGCGGACCUUUCCUCUGUCGACCCCCCCGAGCUGUUUGCAAACGGAGCUCUCGGUGUCUGCGCAUCUCCCCGCCGCUGAGCGGAGGGUCACGGCCCUGCCCCCGCUCCGUGCCACCGGCACCUCCCGAAGAAAAGAACGGCAAUUAACAACAACAAAAAAAAUAACAAAACCAAAACGAGAACCUCUCUCCGUAAGCCCCAUUACGAGAAAUGAAAGGCAGGAAAGGUCCCCGCGCGGUGACCGAGCGGCGCGUUCCCACGCGUCACGCACGGCUCGCUGACAGCCCGAGCAAAAUCGCGGCGUCACAGCGGUACACUCAACGUGAAGAUUUCGACGGGGAUGGUAACGAGAACGAUAAGCAUCGUCAUAAAUAGCGACGGUCCGAAUAAAUCCACAUCUUCCCGGCCGUGCCCUCCCGCAGCCUCGGCGCCGUCCGCGGCUCAGUGCUACGCGGGGCCGAAGGGAGAGACUUUUUUUCCUUUCCUUUUUUUUUUUUUUUUUUUUUUUAAUCUUUAUAUUUUAAUACAAGAAACGAACGCAGCGAGCCCAGGAUUUUGUUAUUAUUUCUAUUCCUCUUUUUUCUGUUCUUUUCCCUCCCCAUCGAAUGCGUCGCUGCUCGAGGACGAGCGGUCAGAACGCCGCGGACGGCCGCACGGUGCAGCAGGUUGCGGGGAGCGGCCCCGACGACCGACGCGAGGAGCAGAAGAGCGCUCCCAAAUGAGGCUCCCGUCAAUGGGAAAACUUAGCGCUCCUAAUGAAGUUUCUGGUGAAAGGAGCGCGACACAAAGCCACCGCGGCAUGAAUCAUUCAUGGGAAAUAUAAAAGAUAAAAGCCGUCGGACAAUGGGCAGCGCCCCGCAUGGAGCGCGCAACGCGUUUCCCUUCCCCGCGUCCCCACGUCCCCGUGUCUGUCCUGCGCCGACCCGCGCCGUCCCCGGCCCCGCACCCAAAGGCGCUCGGCUCCCCCCUCCCCGGCACGUUGGGAG